rnacentral:lncRNA from 1 species
ACAUAUAAACAGAUGGUUAAGAAAAAUAAUAAAAUAAUCAGAAUUUACAUGCUGAGUGGCUGGCUUUUCCGCCUAAGAUCAGAACCUUUGUCAUGACAGGCGUUCCUGCAAGAUAAUCAGAAUCUACACUCUGUUAAAUUACCAUGCAUAGAAAGGCAAUUGUUCUGAAGUCCUCCCCCCUCAGCCCCCCAAAAAAUGAUCGAACUAUCUUGAACAAAAUCCAGCAAGUAGCAAAAUAAUAUGGGCCUACAAGAAAAAUUAAAAACAAGUAAAAUUUCCAUGCCUUUUGUUGAGACUUUUCCUCGCAACUGAUUUUGGCGGAUCAAAAUUUGGGGUUUCAACUACAACAUUUUUGCUGACUAGCUUGACAGUCACCGAUUUUGGUUUUGGCGGAUCAAAAUUUGUCGUUGUUGAUUCACAGUCCCAAAUAGUUUUCCUCGAAUAAACUUAUUGAAAAUUCUAGCAGAUGAACCAUAAGUCAGUAAAAAGAUAUUAAAAGAGAGAGUAUUAUACUAUUAUUAUUGAUAAAUUUCUAAAUUAAAAAAAAAAAAAAGUAUGGAGAGAAAGAAGAAAGAGAUGAUACAAAAAUUCUAAAUUCGUGCAGCUUUGUUAUUUGCAGAGGAGACAGAGAAGUGUAAUUUGCCCUUAUGAGCACCUCAAAUAAUAUUUUCUUGUUCUUUCCUUAUAAGAAAACAGACAAAGAAAUUAUAUCUUCAAAUCAAUUGUAGAAAUAUCA